rnacentral:rRNA from 1 species
CCCUUAGAUGUUCUGGGCCGCACGCGCGCUACACUGAUGCACUCAACGAGUUUCUUCCUGGUCCGAGAGGAAUGGGUAACCUUUUGAAAGUGCAUCGUGAUAGGGAUAGACUAUUGCAAUUAUUGGUCUUCAACGAGGAAUUCCUAGUAGACGUAGUUCAUCAGACUGCAUCGAUUACGUCCCUGCCCUUUGUACACACCGCCCGUCGCUCCUACCGAUUGAAUGCUCAGGUGAGCCAUUCGGACUUUCAUCAUGCUGGUUUCCAGUUUUGAUGAAGGAAAGUCUUGCGAACCUUAUCAUUUAGAGGAAGGAGAAGUCGUAACA